GAUGAAGAACGUAGCGAAAUGCGAUACGUAAUGUGAAUUGCAAAUUCAGUGAAUCAUCGAGUCUUUGAGCGCACAUUGCGCCCCCUGGUAUUCCGGGGGGCAUGCCUGUCCGAGCGUCAUUGCUGCCCUCAAGCACGGCUUGUGUGUUGGGCCCCGUCCUCCGAUCCCGGGGGACGGGCCCGAAAGGCAGCGGCGGCACCGCGUCCGGUCCUCGAGCGUAUGGGGCUUUGUCACCCGCUCUGUAGGCCCGGCCGGCGCUUGCCGAUCAACCCAAAUUUUUAUCCAGGUUGACCUCGGAUCAGGUAUGGAUACCCGCUGAACUUAAGCAUAUCAAUAAGCGGAGGA
rnacentral:misc_RNA from 1 species